UAAAUCCGACGUUAGCCAUGAGGUAACCGAAUGGAAACAAUUUACAAAAUUGCAGUAGCUCAGCCCCCAGGAGUGAAGUGAAGUGAUGAAUUCACGCAACCUUGGAGCCGGCACUCUGCCAUAUAUAAAAACGAAAACAGUCACCGCAGCCAGCGACUUGGCACAGAUAUCCAUUUGAUAUGGAAAACCCUUUCAAGCGGCUGUCAAUUCGAUUCUGGCUCAAAACCCGGGCUCAGCUGCUCGAUCGCGUAAUAAUGUGCUACUGGAAAUGGGCCACUGCAAUAAAACCAUAAAACCACAAUAUCACUAUUUAGUUUUACAUAUAAUUUUACGACCUUCAUGGAAAACAGUGCAGAAUAAGAUUAAUUUGUAGUAGAAUCACUUAUGCAGAAGAUGGGCAAAGAAGCGGUCUGAUUUCGUUGCAACUUCCUAAUACAAAAAUCUCAAAAGAAUGGGUAAUCCGAAUAUUAGCUUAUGCGAUGUUGCAGGUGCACCUCCUCGAGCACGCGUUGUGCUACGAGAAUAUGUCUCCAACGAGGUCCCCAAAAAGCAACCGACUGCGAAAUGAUGAGUCUAGACAAUUAUGAAUGCGAUUAUGAAGGUGAAUGCUUCGAAGUUGGCUAUUGUAGUUGGCAGUGCUGGCUGCACGUGCAACUGGAGGGAAGCUAAGGUUACUCGUACUGCGUUGAGAUGUGGCAAUCACACACAUUUGUAUGCAUCAUUUGGCUUAAUAAAUUCGCGAUUAAUUGGAAUCAAAGUGCAGCAUAAUGACGUGCUAAUUUCGGCCAUUAUUUGAAUAUAUAAUUUGCCAUUCGGCAAGUCGCAGGCAUUGUCCAAUAGUAACAGGUCAACUUAUUUAUCAUAUCAAAACCACGUUGCAAGUUGAACUGCUCUUUCUUGAACUACUCCACCUGGCGUAACAUUACAUAGAACUUGGAAAACCAUCCGGAAGUUGGUAAGCCAAGCAGUAUUGAUUAAUUAUCCUUAUCUACCAACUGGAAGAACCACGUAUCAAUACGUAUUCCGAUUCCUAGUCCGAUGUGCCAACUGCUUAGCAAAUCCACGUUUAGAUCCGUGAUCGAAAUCUUGUCAAGCUCUUAGACAACAGCGCUUUGUGCCCAAGUGCAUCUGACUGCGAAAUGAUGGAGCUUGACAAUUAUGAUUAUGAAGGUGAAUGCUUCGCGAGUUGAAACUUGGGCUUUGUUGUCGCACGGUGCACGUGCAACUGAAUGGAAGUUAAGGUUACUGCGUGGUGGUGAUUGCCGCAGAGAUGUGACAAUCGAAUGCAUUUGUAUUUUUCAUUUGGUUUUAUAA